GGACCGGAAGGUGUGUGUGUGUGUGUGUGUGUGUGUGUGUGUGAAUGCAUUGGAGACAAUGUGCUAGAGCACAUAUAAGAAUCAUAUAACAUAUAAGAAUCAGCCUCUCAUUCCCUCUGCCUUUCUUUUUUAAAAUGCAUAAUUCCAAAAAAUCCUAAAGGAUUGCUUGUAUCCAAAUGAUAAUUGCUUCAAUAUAGAAAGGCUGGUGCUAAUGUUAAAGAAAUAAUUCUAGCCACAAUAACAUCAGAAACAAUACAACCUGUCCUCAGGAAUACAAGUGCCUCAAAGCAAAGAAGAAAGAAAUUAAAGAAAAUACUAAACAAUGGAAAGAUACUUCAUGUUCGUGAACUAGAGUAAUUAGUAUUUUCAAAUUUUCAAAAUCAAUCUGUGUGAUCUUGAACAUUAGAUACACACACACACACACACACACACACACACACACAAUCAUAAAGUCCUAUAGAAGCACAGAAAGCUUUAGUAAGUUAAACCAAUCCUGAACAGAAGAAAACUUGCUGAAGGUCUCAUAGUACAACUGCACUAU
rnacentral:lncRNA from 1 species